UGGGGAAUUUUGGACAAUGGGCGAAAGCCUGAUCCAGCAAUGCCGCGUGUGUGAAGAAGGCCUUCGGGUUGUAAAGCACUUUUGUCCGGAAAGAAAUCCUUGGCUCUAAUACAGUCGGGGGAUGACGGUACCGGAAGAAUAAGCACCGGCUAACUACGUGCCAGCAGCCGCGGUAAUACGUAGGGUGCAAGCGUUAAUCGGAAUUACUGGGCGUAAAGCGUGCGCAGGCGGUUUGCUAAGACCGAUGUGAAAUCCCCGGGCUCAACCUGGGAACUGCAUUGGUGACUGGCAGGCUAGAGUAUGGCAGAGGGGGGUAGAAUUCCACGUGUAGCAGUGAAAUGCGUAGAGAUGUGGAGGAAUACCGAUGGCGAAGGCAGCCCCCUGGGCCAAUACUGACGCUCAUGCACGAAAGCGUGGGGAGCAAAACAGGAUUAGAUACCCUGGUAGUCCACGCCCUAAACGAUGUCAACUAGUUGUUGGGGAUUCAUUCCUUAGUAACGUAGCUAACGCGUGAAGUUGACCGCCUGGGGAGUACGGUCGCAAGAUUAAAACUCAAAGGAAUUGACGGGGUCAUAGCUG
rnacentral:rRNA from 1 species